UACGAAGGGGGCUAGCGUUGCUCGGAAUUACUGGGCGUAAAGGGCGCGUAGGCGGAUAUCUAAGUUGGGGGUGAAAUCCCGGGGCUCAACCUCGGAAUUGCCUUCAAAACUGGAUAUCUUGAGUUCGGGAGAGGUGAGUGGAACUCCGAGUGUAGAGGUGAAAUUCGUAGAUAUUCGGAAGAACACCGGUGGCGAAGGCGACUCACUGGCCCGAUACUGACGCUGAGGCGCGAAAGCGUGGGGAGCAAACAGG
rnacentral:rRNA from 1 species